rnacentral:rRNA from 1 species
UACGUAGGGUGCGAGCGUUGUCCGGAAUUACUGGGCGUAAAGAGCUCGUAGGUGGUUUGUCGCGUUGUCCGUGAAAACUCACAACUCAAUUGUGGGCGUGCGGGCGAUACGGGCAGACUGGAGUACUGCAGGGGAGACUGGAAUUCCUGGUGUAGCGGUGGAAUGCGCAGAUAUCAGGAGGAACACCGGUGGCGAAGGCGGGGUCUCUGGGCAGUAACUGACGCUGAGGAGCGAAAAGCGUGGGGAGCGAACAGG